rnacentral:lncRNA from 1 species
CCCAAAAAAAUCAUCUCACAUUCACAAAUUCCCUCCAAUUCACCUUACUGAUUCACCCUUAAAUUCAACUAUAUAAACAACCAUUGAGUCACUCAUUAAAGAGAAAAAAGAAAUACCUAACCAUCCCUGUAAAAACUUUGUUGCAACACACCUUGAAUUCCCACAUAACUUCUGCAAAAGCUUUGAAUCCAACCUCAACCUUUCCUGCAUCCUACAGAA